AUUCUCCUCCUCACAUUCACAGAGCCUCCAAGAGAUUUACAAGAAAAGCCCAGGAAAUUCCAAGCAUGAAUACCUCCCCAGAUAAGACAGAAGUGGAAGAAAACCAAACUUUUAAAAAUCAGCUUCUAUUCGUACACAGAUGAUACAAGCAUUACAUGGAGCAUGGUGCAACCGGGCCUCACUCCUGCCCCGUCUCCAGCCCUCCACGAGUCCUGCGUUGCUUCCAUCCUUGAGUCCAGGCCUCCCCACUGUGCACUGAGGGGUGUGGGCCGUGUGGUCCAGCUCUCUAGUCCUGAGGCUGCAACUCAGGGGAGUUUGGAGACACCACUUCCCCUCAUGGAUUUCAUUAUUUAGAAGUUGUUGAAAUUCACCAGAGAAAUGAUGAAGCGUCUUUGUUCAGAGCUGCCCCUGCCUCUUCACCAGAGCUGAGUGACCCAGGACAAGAGAAGGAAGUGGGGUGCCCGGACCCCUCAGGAGCAGGAGCAGGAGCAGCCUCCACCAGAGACGUCUGUGUUGACUUUCGGAGUUUGAAUCAGAACAGGGUCCUGGCACGUUGAUGGAGCUCGGGCCUAAGGAAAACAAGUUGGUAUUGAAGUAAAACUAAACAGAUCUCAAUAUGUCCCAGUGUCCCCAGACCUUGCAUCUUCGGGAAAAGCACUUCCAUUUCCAGCUUUCUCCAGUGCUUGAGUUGCCACACGCAUGAGG